GAUGAGAAUUGUACUAGACUCACGGAGGUGUGUGGAUGAGAAUUGUACUAGACUCACGGAGGUGUGUGGAUGAGAAUUGUACUAGACUCACGGAGGUGUGUGGAUGAGAAUUGUACUAGACUCACGGAGGUGUGUGGAUGAGAAUUGUACUAGACUCACGGAGGUGUGUGGAUGAGAAUUGUACUAGACUCACGGAGGUGUGUGGAUGAGAAUUGUACUAGACUCACGGAGGUGUGUGGAUGAGAAUUGUACUAGACUCACGGAGGUGUGUGGAUGAGAAUUGUACUAGACUCACGGAGGUGUGUGGAUGAGAAUUGUACUAGACUCACGGAGGUGUGUGGAUGAGAAUUGUACUAGACUCACGGAGGUGUGUGGAUGAGAAUUGUACUAGACUCACGGAGGUGUGUGGAUGAGAAUUGUACUAGACUCACGGAGGUGUGUGGAUGAGAAUUGUACUAGACUCACGGAGGUGUGUGGAUGAGAAUUGUACUAGACUCACGGAGGUGUGUGGAUGAGAAUUGUACUAGACUCACGGAGGUGUGUGGAUGAGAAUUGUACUAGACUCACGGAGGUGUGUGGAUGAGAAUUGUACUAGACUCACGGAGGUGUGUGGAUGAGAAUUGUACUAGACUCACGGAGGUGUGUGGAUGAGAAUUGUACUAGACUCACGGAGGUGUGUGGAUGAGAAUUGUACUAGACUCACGGAGGUGUGUGGAUGAGAAUUGUACUAGACUCACGGAGGUGUGUGGAUGAGAAUUGUACUAGACUCACGGAGGUGUGUGGAUGAGAAUUGUACUAGACUCACGGAGGUGUGUGGAUGAGAAUUGUACUAGACUCACGGAGGUGUGUGGAUGAGAAUUGUACUAGACUCACGGAGGUGUGUGGAUGAGAAUUGUACUAGACUCACGGAGGUGUGUGGGAUGAGAAUUGUACUAGACUCACGGAGGUGUGUGGAUGAGAAUUGUACUAGACUCACGGAGGUGUGUGGAUGAGAAUUGUACUAGACUCACGGAGGUGUGUGGAUGAGAAUUGUACUAGACUCACGGAGGUGUGUGGAUGAGAAUUGUACUAGACUCACGGAGGUGUGUGGAUGAGAAUUGUACUAGACUCACGGAGGUGUGUGGAUGAGAAUUGUACUAGACUCACGGAGGUGUGUGGAUGAGAAUUGUACUAGACUCACGGAGGUGUGUGGAUGAGAAUUGUACUAGACUCACGGAGGUGUGUGGAUGAGAAUUGUACUAGACUCACGGAGGUGUGUGGAUGAGAAUUGUACUAGACUCACGGAGGUGUGUGGAUGAGAAUUGUACUAGACUCACGGAGGUGUGUGGAUGAGAAUUGUACUAGACUCACGGAGGUGUGUGGAUGAGAAUUGUACUAGACUCACGGAGGUGUGUGGAUGAGAAUUGUACUAGACUCACGGAGGUGUGUGGAUGAGAAUUGUACUAGACUCACGGAGGUGUGUGGAUGAGAAUUGUACUAGACUCACGGAGGUGUGUGGAUGAGAAUUGUACUAGACUCACGGAGGUGUGUGGAUGAGAAUUGUACUAGACUCACGGAGGUGUGUGGAUGAGAAUUGUACUAGACUCACGGAGGUGUGUGGAUGAGAAUUGUACUAGACUCACGGAGGUGUGUGGAUGAGAAUUGUACUAGACUCACGGAGGUGUGUGGAUGAGAAUUGUACUAGACUCACGGAGGUGUGUGGAUGAGAAUUGUACUAGACUCACGGAGGUGUGUGGAUGAGAAUUGUACUAGACUCACGGAGGUGUGUGGAUGAGAAUUGUACUAGACUCACGGAGGUGUGUGGAUGAGAAUUGUACUAGACUCACGGAGGUGUGUGGAUGAGAAUUGUACUAGACUCACGGAGGUGUGUGGAUGAGAAUUGUACUAGACUCACGGAGGUGUGUGGAUGAGAAUUGUACUAGACUCACGGAGGUGUGUGGAUGAGAAUUGUACUAGACUCACGGAGGUGUGUGGAUGAGAAUUGUACUAGACUCACGGAGGUGUGUGGAUGAGAAUUGUACUAGACUCACGGAGGUGUGUGGAUGAGAAUUGUACUAGACCCACGGAGGUGUGUGGAUGAGAAUUGUACUAGACUCACGGAGGUGUGUGGAUGAGAAUUGUACUAGACUCACGGAGGUGUGUGGAUGAGAAUUGUACUAGACUCACGGAGGUGUGUGGAUGAGAAUUGUACUAGACUCACGGAGGUGUGUGGAUGAGAAUUGUACUAGACUCACGGAGGUGUGUGGAUGAGAAUUGUACUAGACUCACGGAGGUGUGUGGAUGAGAA